rnacentral:rRNA from 2 species
CGAGUGAAGCGGCAAAAGCUCAAAUUUGAAAUCCUCAGGGAAUUGUAAUUUGAAGGUGGUCUCAGUUAGUUCAAACAUUCUUAAGUCCAUUGGAAAAUGGCGCCAUGGAGGGUGAUAGCCCCGUAAAGAAUCCGUUUGCUCUAUUUUCUUUGACCACCAAAGAGUCGAGUUGUUUGGGAAUGCAGCUCUAAGUGGGUGGUAAAUUCCAUCUAAAGCUAAAUAUUGGCGAGAGACCGAUAGCGAACAAGUACAGUGAUGGAAAGAUGAAAAGCACUUUGAAAAGAGAGUGAAAAAGUACGUGAAAUUGUUGAAAGGGAAGGGCUUGCAAGCAGACACAACCUUUUGGUUGGGCCAGCAUCGGGGCGAGGGGAAGGAAAAAAGAAAAGGAAAUGUAGCUCUCGAGUAUUAUAGACCUCUUCCACAACUUCCAUCUCAUCCCGAGGCCUGCGGAUUCAUUCCUAGG